rnacentral:rRNA from 1 species
GACGAACGCUGGCGGCGUGCUUAACACAUGCAAGUCGAACGAUGAAGCCGGAGCUUGCUCUGGUGAAUUAGUGGCGAACGGGUGAGUAACACGUGAGUAACCUGCCCUUGACUCUGGGAUAACUGCGGGAAACUGUAGCUAAUACCGGAUACGACCCUCGGAGGCAUCUCCUGGGGGUGGAAAGAACUUCGGUCAAGGAUGGACUCGCGGCCUAUCAGCUAGUUGGUGAGGUAAAGGCUCACCAAGGCGACGACGGGUAGCCGGCCUGGGAGGUGGACCGGCCACACUGGGACUGAGACACGGCCCAGACUCCUACGGGAGGCAGCAGUGGGGAAUAUUGCACAAUGGGCGCAAGCCUGAUGCAGCAACGCCGCGUGAGGGAUGACGGCCUUCGGGUUGUAAACCUCUUUUAGCAGGGAAGAAGCGAAAGUGACGGUACCUGCAGAAAAAGCACCGGCUAACUACGUGCCAGCAGCCGCCGCAG